CAGUAGAACGCUGAAGAGAGGAGCUUGCUCUUCUUGGAUGAGUUGCGAACGGGUGAGUAACGCGUAGGUAACCUGCCUUGUAGCGGGGGAUAACUAUUGGAAACGAUAGCUAAUACCGCAUAACAAUGGAUGACACAUGUCAUUUAUUUGAAAGGGGCAAUUGCUCCACUACAAGAUGGACCUGCGUUGUAUUAGCUAGUAGGUGAGGUAAUGGCUCACCUAGGCGACGAUACAUAGCCGACCUGAGAGGGUGAUCGGCCACACUGGGACUGAGACACGGCCCAGACUCCUACGGGAGGCAGCAGUAGGGAAUCUUCGGCAAUGGGGGCAACCCUGACCGAGCAACGCCGCGUGAGUGAAGAAGGUUUUCGGAUCGUAAAGCUCUGUUGUAAGUCAAGAACGGGUGUGAGAGUGGAAAGUUCACACUGUGACGGUAGCUUACCAGAAAGGGACGGCUAACUACGUGCCAGCAGCCGCGGUAAUACGUAGGUCCCGAGCGUUGUCCGGAUUUAUUGGGCGUAAAGCGAGCGCAGGCGGUUUGAUAAGUCUGAAGUUAAAGGCUGUGGCUCAACCAUAGUUCGCUUUGGAAACUGUCAAACUUGAGUGCAGAAGGGGAGAGUGGAAUUCCAUGUGUAGCGGUGAAAUGCGUAGAUAUAUGGAGGAACACCGGUGGCGAAAGCGGCUCUCUGGUCUGUAACUGACGCUGAGGCUCGAAAGCGUGGGGAGCGAACAGGAUUAGAUACCCUGGUAGUCCACGCCGUAAACGAUGAGUGCUAGGUGUUGGAUCCUUUCCGGGAUUCAGUGCCGCAGCUAACGCAUUAAGCACUCCGCCUGGGGAGUACGACCGCAAGGUUGAAACUCAAAGGAAUUGACGGGGGCCCGCACAAGCGGUGGAGCAUGUGGUUUAAUUCGAAGCAACGCGAAGAACCUUACCAGGUCUUGACAUCCCGAUGCUAUUUCUAGAGAUAGAAAGUUACUUCGGUACAUCGGUGACAGGUGGUGCAUGGUUGUCGUCAGCUCGUGUCGUGAGAUGUUGGGUUAAGUCCCGCAACGAGCGCAACCCCUAUUGUUAGUUGCCAUCAUUCAGUUGGGCACUCUAGCGAGACUGCCGGUAAUAAACCGGAGGAAGGUGGGGAUGACGUCAAAUCAUCAUGCCCCUUAUGACCUGGGCUACACACGUGCUACAAUGGUUGGUACAACGAGUUGCGAGUCGGUGACGGCGAGCUAAUCUCUUAAAGCCAAUCUCAGUUCGGAUUGUAGGCUGCAACUCGCCUACAUGAAGUCGGAAUCGCUAGUAAUCGCGGAUCAGCACGCCGCGGUGAAUACGUUCCCGGGCCUUGUACACACCGCCCGUCACAC
rnacentral:rRNA from 1 species